UAUCGGAACGUGCCCAGUCGUGGGGGAUAACUGCUCGAAAGAGCAGCUAAUACCGCAUACGACCUGAGGGUGAAAGCGGGGGAUCGCAAGACCUCGCGCGAUUGGAGCGGCCGAUAUCAGAUUAGGUAGUUGGUGAGGUAAAGGCUCACCAAGCCGACGAUCUGCAGCUGGUCUGAGAGGACGACCAGCCACACUGGGACUGAGACACGGCCCAG
rnacentral:rRNA from 1 species